AUUGAACGCUGGCGGAAUGCUUUACACAUGCAAGUCGAAUGGCAGCACGGGGGCAACCCUGGUGGCGAGUGGCGAACGGGUGAGUAAUACAUCGGAACGUGCCCGGUCGUGGGGGAUAACGUAGCGAAAGUUACGCUAAUACCGCAUACGAUCUGAGGAUGAAAGCGGGGGACCUUCGGGCCUCGCGCGAUCGGAGCGGCCGAUGUCAGAUUAGGUAGUUGGUGGGGUAAAGGCCUACCAAGCCGACGAUCUGUAGCUGGUCUGAGAGGACGACCAGCCACACUGGGACUGAGACACGGCCCAGACUCCUACGGGAGGCAGCAGUGGGGAAUUUUGGACAAUGGGCGCAAGCCUGAUCCAGCCAUUCCGCGUGCAGGACGAAGGCCUUCGGGUUGUAAACUGCUUUUGUAUGGAACGAAAAGGCUCUGGCUAAUACCUGGGGCUCAUGACGGUACCGUAAGAAUAAGCACCGGCUAACUACGUG
rnacentral:rRNA from 1 species